rnacentral:rRNA from 1 species
AUUGGGCGUAAGCGCGCGCAGGUGGUUUCUUAAGUCUGAUGUGAAAGCCCACGGCUCAACCGUGGAGGGUCAUUGGAAACUGGGAGACUUGAGUGCAGAAGAGGAAAGUGGAAUUCCAUGUGUAGCGGUGAAAUGCGUAGAGAUAUGGAGGAACACCAGUGGCGAAGGCGACUUUCUGGUCUGUAACUGACACUGAGGCGCGAAAGCGUGGGGAGCAAACAGGAUUAGAUACCCUGGUAGUCCACGCCGUAAACGAUGAGUGCUAAGUGUUAGAGGGUUUCCGCCCUUUAGUGCUGAAGUUAACGCAUUAAGCACUCCGCCUGGGGAGUACGGCCGCAAGGCUGAAACUCAAAGGAAUUGACGGGGGCCCGCACAAGCGGGGGAGCAUGUGGUUUUUUUCAAAGCAACC